NNNNNNNNNNNNNNNNNNNNNNNNNNNNNNNNNNNNUUUGAGGUUCCUGGGGGAAUUUUGGGUGGAAUUUUGGGGGAUUUGGGGUUUUUUUGAGGAUUUUUGGGGGGAUCUCAGAUCGAUUUUUGGGGAUUUUUGGUUUUUUUUUGGGUUUUUUGGGGGGUCUGAGAGCAAAUUUUGGGGUUCCUGAGGAAUUUUUGGGAUUCCCGGGUGGAUUUUUGGGGUUCCCGGGUGGAUUUUUGGGAUUCCCGGGUGGAUUUUUGGGGUUCCUGGGGAAUUUUUGGGAUUCCCGGGUGGAUUUUUGGGGAUUCCCGGGUGGAUUUUUGGGAUUCCCGGGUGGAUUUUUGGGGUUCCCGGGUGGAUUUUUGGGGUUCCCGGGGAAUUUUGGGGGUUCCCGGGUGAAUUUUUGGGAUUCCCGGGUGGAUUUUUGGGGUUCCCGGGUGAAUUUUUGGGAUUCCCGGGUGGAUUUUUGGGAUUCCCGGGGGAAUUUUUGGGGUUCCCGGGGGGAUUUUUGGGGUUCCCGGGGAAUUUUUGGGGUUCCUGAGCAAUUUUUGGGGUUCCCAGGGGGAUUUUUGGGGUUCCCGGGGAAUUUUUGGGAUUCCCGGGGAAUUUUUGGGAUUCCCGGGGGGAUUUUUGGGGUUCCCGGGUGGAUUUUGGGGUUCCUGAGGAAUUUUUGGGGUUCCCGGGUGGAUUUUUGGGAUUCCCGGGGGGAUUUUUGGGAUUCCCGGGUGGAUUUUUGGGAUUCCCGGGGGGAUUUUUGGGACUCCCGGGUGGAUUUUUGGGGUUCCCGGGUGGAUUUUUGGGGUUCCCGGGCGGAUUUUUGGGGUUCCCGGGUGGAUUUUUGGGAUUCCCGGAGAAUUUUUGGGUUCCCGGGUGGAUUUUUGGGAUUCCCGGGUGGAUUUUUGGGAUUCCCGGGUGGAUUUUUGGGGUUCCCGGGUGGAUUUUUGGGGUUCCCGGGUGAAUUUCAGAAUUUCCCUUUUUUAAAUUUUUUUUUUUUCCCAUUUUUGGCUUUUUUCUCCCCAAUUUUUCCCGCGGGGCCCCAGCAGGAACGGGGGGGGGGAGGGGCGGCGCUUCCG
rnacentral:lncRNA from 1 species